CGAUUUCUCAGAGGACUGUUAUAGUUAGAACUCUAGAUUCUUCAAAACACAUGGGAAUUCAUAACAUGGUGGCGUAAAGAACCCUAAGUCGUUGGGUUUUCUCAUUGUACCGGAUUCUACAUUAUAAUAGAGGACACCUUCCGUUGAAAAAAAAAAAAAAACCAGCUUUUCAACAUGACCAACCAAUACCCUUGUUAGUGGCACAAUGGUGUCACAUAUGGAUGGAAAAUUGAUGCAAUAUUCUGAAAUCCAAACACUAUUUUUUGGUUCCUCGAGCCUCCACAUUUUCACAAUCGCUUUUUCCUUCCAACAGCGUACCAAAUAUAAACGGUCCUUUAACUCUACCAAGUAAGCAUUGGCAUCAGGAAUAUUGAGUUUUGGGCAUGAAAUGAUUUUGGAUUCUUCCUCAUCCAAAAUCAAAGGCAAGAAUAGUUUUGGUAGCGAGAAGCUUCUGAUAUGUUCCGUAAAAUAUCAGCCAAAAAAUCACGCCAUUCACAGAAACAGAAGGCUCGCUAGGGCAUGCAAAAGGACACGAUUCAAUCAAUCUCCAUGAUUCUGAUUUGAAUCUGAGACUAUAAGCUAGACUAAGAAUUUCACACCCCAUACUCAUGCUGUGAUCCUCGUUCUGCAUAAACCACCGAACAAUUUUGAGUUCUUUCGCAACAGAUGAGUGCCCUAAACCUAAACCUACAAGAUCAAAAGGAUCAGAAUGAGGCAAAAUUGCUUUCUCUUUGGUGCUUAGAUUACAAAUGGAAAUUUUUCCCAACCGAACAUAAAAGAUUAUGAUACGAAAUUACUAAAUAAAUAUAAGCAUCCCUAAUAGGGAAAAAGUAAUUUUCCCGAAUCCUUUCGUUAACUGUGUCCACGAUGGACGUGUAAAGAGUGGAAUCUUCGUAAAGGCUCAAAAACAUAGAUAAGAUUUUUGAUGAAGUCGUUGGCGGCGCACAGCUUUGACAAAUCUAGGAUGAGGAGAAGAUAUCAAGCUAUGCCAUUCUUUAGAAACACAAGUGAACCUGCAAAGAGACUUCUCAGUGAGUCUUGACAGCACGUCUACUAAUAUGUCGGUUGGUAGUUUGUUCAAUCUCAUUCUUGUCUUCUCUACGCCUUGUCCUUCCAUCAAGAGACGGAGGAAGAUAUUUGCUACGUGUAUAUCUCUUUCCGUGGAAGAUUGUGAUCAAAGAUUUCUUUGAAUUAAUUGGAGUAUUUCUAGAUGGUUUAACUUUCUCAGGGUAUUGUUUUUUCUAUGUGAAUUCGUAGUGUAGAAGAUUAAAU
rnacentral:lncRNA from 1 species